UUAUGGCUCAGGAUGAACGCUGGCGGCGUGCUUAAUACAUGCAAGUCGAACGAAGCACUUCAGCAGAUCCCUCGGGGUGAAGCCGGUGUGACUAGUGGCGGACGGGUGAGUAACGCGUGGGUAACCUGCCUUAUACAGGGGGAUAACAGCUGGAAACGACUGCUAAUACCCCAUAAGCGCACGGCACCGCAUGAUGCAGUGUGAAAAGAUUUAUCGGUAUAAGAUGGACCCGCGUCUGAUUAGUUAGUUGGCGGGGUAACGGCCCACCAAGACCGCGAUCAGUAGCCGACUUGAGAGAGUGAUCGGCCACAUUGGGACUGAGACACGGCCCAGACUCCUACGGGAGGCAGCAGUAGGGAAUAUUGCACAAUGGGGGAAACCCUGAUGCAGCGAACCGCCGCGUGAGUGAUUGAAGUAUUUCGGUAUGUAAAGCUCUAUCAGCAGGGAAGAUAAUGACGGUACCUGACUAAGAAGCCCCGGCUAACUACGUGCCAGCCGCAGC
rnacentral:rRNA from 1 species